rnacentral:misc_RNA from 1 species
GGCCUGUGAAUUUUCAAGACUUAUUCCAAAAAAAGUAAAUGUAUUGCCUGUUGUUGAAUGGAUAUACUGAACAAUACCCAUAAUAAACAGAAACAAAAUUCUACUAUGCUACGAAAGAGACUCGCCUACGAGCCUAAACCAACGCCCCAUCCCAUAGCUCCAAAUGGUUUAAAGAAAAUAUUUACACAGAACAAGACCAGCACCAGAGUUGUGCAUAAAGCUCAAGAACCCAACAGCUCUUUGAUACCAGAUUUCUGAGCCACAGUGAGACGAGCAGGGAACUUGAUGUCAAACUUGAUCCUCAAAUUCCCUUUCUUUGACGGAUCUUUUGGAAGCGGCAUGCCUUCACCUGGGACGAUAUGUUCAUAAUUUGGUUGAAUCACGUUGUUGAUUGGAAUUGUUAAGUUCCUUCCAUCCAGAGUAGUGAGUUGGACAGUAGUACCGGUUAAAGCUUCAGCCAAAGGAAUCUUUUGUGUGACAAUCAAGUCAUUUCCAUCACGCGAGAAAACCUUAUGAGGUUUCUCAUCUAUUAUGAAGACCAGAUCAGCUGGUAUAACACCUGGCUGCUCAUUCCCUUUUUCUUGGAAGGUGAUCUUUGUACCUUUCUUCCACCCAGGUUUAAUUUCGAUUGUCAGAAUCUCUUGCACAAUUCUCUUGCCACUCGAAUCGGCAAUUUCUCUAGAAAUUUUCAUCUUUUUGGUGGUACCCUUGUAGAGAUCCUCAAGAUUACAAGGCAAGUUCUGUUGUACCGGAGCCUCUUUCCUUGGGACUGAUGAAUGCAUUGGAACACCACCACCUCCUCCUCCUUCACCGAAGGAUGCUGCGAAUAUAUCAUCAGUGAACAUAUUACCAAACCUUGAGCCCCUACCCCCUCCAGGUCCAUAUGGAGUAGAAAAGCCAAAAAAUUCAGCAAAUAUGUCAUCAGCAUUUCUACUGUUGAAUCUGAAUGAAGUAGGGCCAUCCCCAGUAGAAAAGUAGGUUGAACCGGCACCAGGACCACCAGCUCCAGGUGGUGGUACCCCGCCCUUGAGCCCUUCUUCACCAUACUGGUCAUACACAGCUUUUUUCUGGGAGUCGCUAAGCACAUCAUACGCUUCAGAGAUCUGUUUGAACUUAGCUUCAGCUUCUUUUUUGUUUUGUGGGUUCUUAUCCGGAUGCCAUUUCAUGGCAAGUUUUCUAUAAGCUUUCUUCAAAUCAUCAUCUGUAGCGUUCUUAUCAACACCCAAUACUUUGUAAUAAUCAACCCCCAUCUUCUCUACUACUGCUUCGUUUCUCUUCCUUUUCUUCAGUUUGAGAAAUUUGGGUUUUUGAAGAAAAAUGAUUCUUGAAGAUUGCUUCAGUAUAUGAAUUUGCGGAGAAAAAAAGAGAAGGAAAGUGCAGGAGAAGAC